rnacentral:rRNA from 1 species
AAUGAACGUUGGCGGCGUGGAUUAGGCAUGCAAGUCGAGCGAGAAGAGUUUGGUAGCUUGCUAUUGAACUCGGAAAGCGGCGAAAGGGAGAGUAACGCGUAGUUAUGUACCCAGGGGUUCGGAAUAGCCACGGGAAACUGUGGGUAAUGCCGAAUAACAUCUCCGGAUCAAAGGUGUGAUUCCGCCCUUGGAGCAGACUGCGUCCUACUAGCUAGUUGGCGGGGUAAUGGCCCACCAAGGCGACUAUGGGUAGCGGGUGUGAGAGCAUGACCCGUCUCACUGGGACUGAGACACUGCCCAGACACCUACGGGUGGCUGCAGUCGAGAAUCUUCGGCAAUGGGCGAAAGCCUGACCGAGCGACGCCGCGUGCGGGAUGAAGGCCCUCGGGUUGUAAACCGCUGUCGUAGGGGAGGAAGGCUCCGUGAAGAACGGGGUUUGACCUAUCCUAGGAGGAAGUACGGGCUAAGUUCGUGCCAGCAGCCGCAGUAA